UACGGAGGGGGCGAGCGUUAUUCGGAAUUAUUGGGCGUAAAGGGCGCGUAGGCGGCCCGGUAAGUCAAAGGUGAAAUCCCUCGGCUCAACUGAGGAACUGCCUUUGAAACUGUCGGGCUUGAGGCCGGGAGGGGGUAGCGGAAUUCCCAGUGUAGCGGUGAAAUGCGUAGAUAUUGGGAGGAACACCAGUGGCGAAGGCGGCUACCUGGACCGGUUCUGACGCUGAUGCGCGAAAGCGUGGGUAGCAAACGGG
rnacentral:rRNA from 1 species